UACGGAGGGUGCAAGCGUUGUCCGGAAUCAUUGGGCGUAAAGCGCGCGUAGGUGGCCUCAUAAGUCCGCUGUGAAAGUCAAAGGCUCAACCUUUGAAAGCCGGUGGAUACUGUGAGGCUAGAGUACGGAAGAGGCGAGUGGAAUUCCUGGUGUAGCGGUGGAAUGCGCAGAUAUCAGGAGGAACACCAAUAGCGAAGGCAGCUCGCUGGGACGUUACUGACACUGAGGCGCGAAAGCGUGGGGAGCGAACAGG
rnacentral:rRNA from 1 species